rnacentral:rRNA from 1 species
GAUGAACGCUGGCGGCGUGCUUAACACAUGCAAGUCGAACGAUGAAGCUCAGCUUGCUGGGUGGAUUAGUGGCGAACGGGUGAGUAACACGUGAGUAACCUGCCCUUAACUCUGGGAUAAGCCUGGGAAACUAGGUCUAAUACCGGAUAGGAGCGCCUACCGCAUGGUGGGUGUUGGAAAGAUUUAUCGGUUUUGGGUGGACUCGCGGCCUAUCAGCUUGUUGGUGAGGUAAUGGCUCACCAAGGCGACGACGGGUAGCCGGCCUGAGAGGGUGACCGGCCACACUGGGACUGAGACACGGCCCAGACUCCUACGGGAGGCAGCAGUGGGGAAUAUUGCACAAUGGGCGAAAGCCUGAUGCAGCGACGCCGCGUGAGGGAUGACGGCCUUCGGGUUGUAAACCUCUUUCAGUAGGGAAGAAGCGAAAGUGACGGUACCUGCAGAAGAAGCACCGGCUAACUACGUG